GUGUUCGCUUCGGCAGCACAUAUACUACAAUUGGAAAGAUACAGAGAAGAUUAGCAUGGCCCCUGAGCAAGGAUGAAAAUGUGGCCUAAGACAAAAAGAGCUCAGAG